AGAAAACUAAAGUUUAGAAAAUUUUCAUCAGCCUAGAAACAACUUCUCUCAUACAAAAACAGCUAUAAUUUUAGUUGAUUUGAUCCAAUUGAGACGUGAAGUAAUUGUUUUAAUCUGUACAAGGCAUCUCAAGACUAUGUCCCUUUCUCUCUGAAAGAAUUCAUGAAGGAUUGCAACGAAUGUUUCCGCCUCUAUUUAAAAUAUAGAAUGAUUGUUUAUGUUCAUAUUUUCUCAAUAUUGUCUAAACAUCAGUGAAGAUGAAAUAAAAACAAUUAAGAAAUAAUAUUUCUUCUUUAAUAGAAUUAAAGAAUAUAUUUUUGCCUUACUAUGAUUUUUUUCAAUUUAUCGGCCUUAUGGAUGUAUAGUAAAACAAUCGCUAACCAUCUUGAAGAACUGAAUUCAAUUCCGAAUCCCACACAUUCAAUUUCUCGAAAUGUGUCCGAGCGGCACGAUAAGUGCCAUUCAUCACUUUCCACUGAACGCAUUAUGCAUAUUGAUCAAUCCAUGAGAGACUAUAAAAGCAACGGCCACCAAAUAUAAUUCUCGAGUGAUUGGGCGAUAUAAUUCAAACUAAUAUAUUUGUUUAGGAAAGCAAUGAUUGGUCAUAAUUCGCAUGUAAUAUAAGCACGUUAACUGAAAUAAUUUGUAGGCAUAUCUCCCAUUUGUUUCUGUUAACAAAAUCCAUCAUAAUUGGAAAGUUUGAAUGCCAAUUAAAAAAGUACAUAUACCGAGAAUUUUUCUUGAAACCGAACGCACUGAUUUUUGGCAUCGAGCCAA
rnacentral:lncRNA from 1 species